CCUCUGUGAUGUUCCAAUAGAUCCUGCCGAUCCUUUACCAUGUACUCAAUAGGAAGGAAGUGAAGAGAGCUAUAUACUGAGGGG